CCUCCUCACUUCACUCGGCGGCUCCCCCUGGGCGUGCCUCCUUGAAGCGCCACCUCGCCACGCUUCCCUGCUUCGCCCCAGCCGUACAUCCUUGCGCACCUCCUCGCCGCAUCUCUCUCGCGGUCGCACGGCGAGCGGGCGGUCCCCGCACCACGCCGUUCUGCAGCGGAUUCCGUGGCGGUGCGCGUGGCGCUUGAGUGGGCGCCGGCCACGCUACUGCUCCUCCUACUACAGCUCUCCACAUCCCGCUCCAUGCUCCUCCGACCCCUGGCCAUGGGUCUGCCUAGCACCAGAUCCGGCCGCCGCGGACCCACAUCCUGCGGCACGGGCGCACCACGCACGGUCAGGCAGUUUGGUGUGGCAGCCCCCCACGGCGGUGAUGGAGCUUGGAGACCAUGGCCACGGCAGCUGAGGCCGUGCGACACAGGGAGUGGGCGACGAGCGGGAGGGCGUCGCGGCGAGCGAGACUGCCGGAACUGCUCCUGUGACCGCGGCCGCAUCUCCCCUCAUCAUCCGCCCGCGAUGCCUGCAGCGACUGUGUCCAGUUCUCGGCCUCCAUUCAAACUAUGCAUCGUGGAGACGACGACGGCCAGGAAUAGGUCCACGCAUAGCAUCAGCUUCUGAUUAGUGGUGACCUCUUCUCUUUUGGUCCUCUGCUCUUUUGAUACCCGAUUCAGAUUCGGUGUUCACCUGUGUCCAGGUUCUCGGCCUCCAUUCAAGCUCUGCAUCGUUGAGACGGCAACGGCCAGGAAUAGGUCCACGCAUAGCAUCAGCGUCUGGCAUCAGCUUCUGAUUAGUGGUGACCUCUUCUCUUUUGGUCCUCUGCUCUUUUGAUACCCGAUUCAGAUUCGGUGUUCGCCUGUGUCCAGGUUCUCGGCCUCCAUUCAAGCUCUGCAUCGUGGAGACGGCGACAGCCAGGAAUAGGUCCACGCAUAGCAUCAGCGUCUGGCAUCAGCUUCUGAUUACUGGUCAACACCAGAUCCUAUGAGAACCCAAAAGUAGCAAGAUCAACUGAAGCUCCACUAGCUAGCCAUCAAACAAGCUACGGUACGCGCACAGUCAUUCCUCAAUGGCUGACAGGCCACCUAUUUUUCCUCCUGAUCUUGCAAGUUGGUAGCUUUGUUGUUCUACAAGCUUACACUGAUAAGGAUAAGGAUGAAUAUUAUGCACUCUAAGUUGGGCUCCAGAUCAUGUUAAUGGCUCACCGCUGCCGGUAGCAGCAUCAAACAAUAGGAUCAUUCGGUCCAUCAAUUAUUACAUCCUGGAGCUUGUGAAUCUGAAUUUUUUUCCUGUGUUUAUACAUAGAUUGGACCUUGACAGGACAUGAACAAGUACAUUUUGUUUUCUUCAUGUUCACAUUUCGAUCAAUGAAUAAGGAUAGUUGUUUUCUCCAUGUUCACACGUUGGCCAGUAUAUAUGAAAGGCAGGAAGAAAUGAAACCAUUUUACCAUUUGUAAUUGUAAAA